GCUCCUGCAAAGAAGUUAACAUCUCCGGCACCAUCUCCUUCGGCAUUGAGUCCUCCCUUACCUCCCACUGGUGCUCCAGCUCUAGCUCCCAGUCUUGGAGCUUUAUCUCCUGCUCCUUCAGCCACUGAUCAGAGUGGAGUGGAGGGCCUGAAGUUGUCAACAAUAAUUGUUAAAAUCUUAGUCUUAGGGUGGGGUCUACUCUACUUUGUAAUGUAGAACUCUUUCUUUUUUAUCCUGCAUCAUUUGCCUUUUUCUCUACAUAUAUGAAUUGCCAUCUCUUUAUUUAGGAGGAUAAUGAUGGCUCAUUUCCUUACCUGUACUUUGGAUUAAACAUUCACUUGGUUUUUUUGGAUGUUGUUGUUAAGAGGAGCUAUUUUGUAUUUUGAGGUUUCUUUGGAUGUUGUUGUUGAGGAAAGCUAUUUUGUAUUUUGAGAGGAUUGUUUAUGAAUUGAUCACUUCUAUCGUUUCUAUAUGUUCAUUAA